rnacentral:lncRNA from 1 species
CAAUCGGACUAACACAUUAAUUCUUUCUAUAACAUAAUUUCGUAUAUGAUCUAAUUAUUUAGGACAGUUAAUUAUCAUCUAUAUAAUAUAUGCAUCCAUGAAUCACUCAAUGAAUUAAUAAAAUGAUGACACAUAUUCUAAAAAAUUGAGAAUUUGAUGCAUAUGUCAUUGGUGAUUAAUUCAUAAACUGAUCUCGACUAUAGGAUCAUUACAGGAACGGUGAUCAAUCUAGAUAGGUUGGUGUAUGGAUUGCUUUCUUAUGAUAGAUUAGUCUUGAGUUUAUAGUGUGGGG